CCUACGGGAGGCAGCAGUGGGGAAUUUUGGACAAUGGGCGCAAGCCUGAUCCAGCAAUGCCGCGUGCAGGAUGAAGGCCUUCGGGUUGUAAACUGCUUUUGUACGGAACGAAAAAGUCUGCCCUAAUACGGUGGGCCCAUGACGGUACCGUAAGAAUAAGCACCGGCCAACUACGUGCCAGCAGCCGCGGUAAUACGUAGGGUGCGAGCGUUAAUCGGAAUUACUGGGCGUAAAGCGUGCGCAGGCGGUUAUAUAAGACAGAUGUGAAAUCCCCGGGCUCAACCUGGGACCUGCAUUUGUGACUGUAUAGCUAGAGUACGGUAGAGGGGGAUGGAAUUCCGCGUGUAGCAGUGAAAUGCGUAGAUAUGCGGAGGAACACCGAUGGCGAAGGCAAUCCCCUGGACCUGUACUGACGCUCAUGCACGAAAGCGUGGGGAGCAAACAGGAUUAGAUACCCUGGUAGUCCACGCCCUAAACGAUGUCAACUGGUUGGUGGGUCUUCACUGACUCAGUAACGAAGCUAACGCGUGAAGUUGACCGCCUGGGGAGUACGGCCGCAAGGUUGAACUUAAAGGAAUUGACGG
rnacentral:rRNA from 1 species